rnacentral:misc_RNA from 1 species
UUUUCUUUCUGAAAUCGGGAGAUUGAUAUGGCUGGAAGAGAAGAAUACCGAAUAUUUGUGGGAGGGUUGUCGUGGGACAUCACGGAGCGUCAGCUUGAGAAUGCCUUCAAUCGGUUCGGCAAAAUUAUCGAUUCUCAGAUCAUGUUGGAAAAGAAUACAGGCCGCCCACGUGGCUUUGGCUUUAUAACAUUUUCAGAUCGCCGUGGAAUGGAUGAUGCUAUCAGAGAGAUGCAUGGACAAGAAUUUGGAGACCGAAUCAUUUCAGUGAACAAG